rnacentral:rRNA from 1 species
GACGAACGCGGCGGCGUGCCUAAUACAUGCAAGUAGAACGCUGAAGGAGGAGCUUGCUUCUCCGGAUGAGUUGCGAACGGGUGAGUAACGCGUAGGUAACCUGCCUGGUAGCGGGGGAUAACUAUUGGAAACGAUAGCUAAUACCGCAUAAGAGUAGAUGUUGCAUGACAUUUGCUUAAAAGGUGCAAUUGCAUCACUACCAGAUGGACCUGCGUUGUAUUAGCUAGUUGGUGGGGUAACGGCUCACCAAGGCGACGAUACAUAGCCGACCUGAGAGGGUGAUCGGCCACACUGGGACUGAGACACGGCCCAGACUCCUACGGGAGGCAGCAGUAGGGAAUCUUCGGCAAUGGACGGAAGUCUGACCGAGCAACGCCGCGUGAGUGAAGAAGGUUUUCGGAUCGUAAAGCUCUGUUGUAAGAGAAGAACGAGUGUGAGAGUGGAAAGUUCACACUGUGACGUAUCUACCAG